rnacentral:tmRNA from 1 species
AUCGGUUUCGACGUUGCCUGCGAAACUGUGAGAAGCGGGUCGAGGAUGCACAGUUAUCUCGUUAACGAUCUGUGCAAAACAAUAGGUGCCAAUUCUAAGCGCACCGACUUCGCUCUCGCCGCCUAAGGCCGAGUAGCAAGUCCGUCAGACCGGGUAUGCUUCCGCCCCGUGCUCUGGCGUCGAUUAGGGAGCUUGCUGAUAAGCCGCGUUUCAGGACUUAUCGGGACUUAAACUGGGACUGGGCCCGUCGAUCUAGGUGCUUGUGACAAAGAUCGGGGCCGAGUAGAACGAUUUCACAAGAUACACCCGUAGAAGGCACAGAAUCA